GGUAACCAGUAGAGUUUGAUCCUGGCUCAGUAAGUCGUAACAAGGUAACCAGUAGAGUUUGAUCCUGGCUCAGGACGAACGCUGGCGGCGUGCUUAAUACAUGCAAGUCGUACGCUUCUUUCUCCACCGGAGCUUGCUCCACCGGAAAAAGAGGAGUGGCGAACGGGUGAGUAACACGUGGGUAACCUGCCCAUCAGAAGGGGAUAACACUUGGAAACAGGUGCUAAUACCGUAUAACAAUCGAAACCGCAUGGUUUUGAUUUGAAAGGCGCUUUCGGGUGUCGCUGAUGGAUGGACCCGCGGUGCAUUAGCUAGUUGGUGAGGUAACGGCUCACCAAGGCCACGAUGCAUAGCCGACCUGAGAGGGUGAUCGGCCACAUUGGGACUGAGACACGGCCCAAACUCCUACGGGAGGCAGCAGUAGGGAAUCUUCGGCAAUGGACGAAAGUCUGACCGAGCAACGCCGCGUGAGUGAAGAAGGUUUUCGGAUCGUAAAACUCUGUUGUUAGAGAAGAACAAGGAUGAGAGUAACUGUUCAUCCCUUGACGGUAUCUAACCAGAAAGCCACGGCUAACUACGUGCCAGCAGCCGCGGUAAUACGUAGGUGGCAAGCGUUGUCCGGAUUUAUUGGGCGUAAAGCGAGCGCAGGCGGUUUCUUAAGUCUGAUGUGAAAGCCCCCGGCUCAACCGGGGAGGGUCAUUGGAAACUGGGAGACUUGAGUGCAGAAGAGGAGAGUGGAAUUCCAUGUGUAGCGGUGAAAUGCGUAGAUAUAUGGAGGAACACCAGUGGCGAAGGCGGCUCUCUGGUCUGUAACUGACGCUGAGGCUCGAAAGCGUGGGGAGCAAACAGGAUUAGAUACCCUGGUAGUCCACGCCGUAAACGAUGAGUGCUAAGUGUUGGAGGGUUUCCGCCCUUCAGUGCUGCAGCUAACGCAUUAAGCACUCCGCCUGGGGAGUACGACCGCAAGGUUGAAACUCAAAGGAAUUGACGGGGGCCCGCACAAGCGGUGGAGCAUGUGGUUUAAUUCGAAGCAACGCGAAGAACCUUACCAGGUCUUGACAUCCUUUGACCACUCUAGAGAUAGAGCUUCCCCUUCGGGGGCAAAGUGACAGGUGGUGCAUGGUUGUCGUCAGCUCGUGUCGUGAGAUGUUGGGUUAAGUCCCGCAACGAGCGCAACCCUUAUUGUUAGUUGCCAUCAUUCAGUUGGGCACUCUAGCAAGACUGCCGGUGACAAACCGGAGGAAGGUGGGGAUGACGUCAAAUCAUCAUGCCCCUUAUGACCUGGGCUACACACGUGCUACAAUGGGAAGUACAAC
rnacentral:rRNA from 1 species